rnacentral:rRNA from 1 species
ACGGGAGGCAGCAGUGGGGAAUGUUGCACAAUGGAGGAAACUCUGAUGCAGCAACGCCGCGUGAAGGAUGAAGGUCUUCGGAUUGUAAACUUCUGUCCUUAGGGAAGAUAAUGACGGUACCUUUGGAGGAAGCCCCGGCUAACUACGUGCCAGCAGCCGCGGUAAUACGUAGGGGGCAAGCGUUAUCCGGAAUUAUUGGGCGUAAAGGGUGCGUAGGUGGUUACCUAAGCAGGGGGUGAAAGGCAUUGGCUUAACCAAUGUUAGUCCCCUGAACUGGGCUACUUGAGUACAGGAGGGGAAAGUGGAAUUCCUAGUGUAGCGGUGAAAUGCGUAGAUAUUAGGAGGAACACCGGUGGCGAAGGCGACUUUCUGGACUGUUACUGACACUGAGGCACGAAAGUGUGGGGAGCAAACAGGAUUAGAUACCCUGGUA